CAAUAUUUUGUUUCCUUUUUUAAAAGAUAUCAAAUAUUAAAUAACGCAAUCCUAUUGGUUGGUGAACCUAGAGGUUCAUCUUAGGGGGUGAAUCCAAGAAUAAGUCUAAUAAGUGUAUUCACAUACUAUAUCUUACCGGAGGAGACAGUUGACAAAAAAAAGAAAGAAGAAGAAGCUCUUGCAACUUAGAAUUUAAAAGUGUACGAAACGUGACACUAUGCUGUUAAUUUGUUGAUGGCCUGAUGCUACGUUUUUUCGAAUAUAAUCAGUAUAUCAUUACUUGUUGUAUUCAAUAGUAGAUCUUUAUCCUCAACUACCUAAAGACUAAUUCAGCAGUUAUGAAAAAAAAAAAAAAUCAGCAACUAUGAAGAAUUUAAUAGACAACUAGCUAGUAUGAAUGUAAGAAAUCUCAUUUUUAUUUCCCUUGUUUACAAUUCAGAUAUACGCAUAUUCAUUGAUUUACGAUACACUAAUAGAUAACAAGUUUUUGGUGCUAUCCAGUGAAAUGCAAUAAUUAAUAUUUUAAAGAUACAUUCCUACGAAAUUGAAAGAAUCACAAUGGGCUGUAUACUUAUUAGAUUCUUUCAAGUCACCAAGUUAUCAAACCCAAUGUGCCACAUUGAUGUCCCUGAGUUUCUGACUCGUCCGUUAGUUUUUCUAAACAAUUGUUUUCAACAUGGUUUCACUUUCAUAUUAAUAUUUCAAUAAUUACAAAACUAAAAUGAAAUCACUCCAAUAAGCCUAUCAUAUAUCUUAUCGGCUAAAUGAAAAUUUAAGGCCCAUCGAUGUAAUUAAACCCACUUGAAAAAACUUGAAUUUGUUUAUGAAGUAUAUGAGCUCAUAGAUUUUCUCUGCAUGACUAGUCUAGUACUCCCUCUGUUACUGAAAAAAAGAUUUUCUAGAGUAUUCACGCAUAUUAAGAAAACAAUUAAUUUUUUACAAUUGAAUUUAUUAUUUAUUUUACUAUACAUUUCCAAUAAAUAUCAACCAAUAGUAUUCAACCAAUUCAAAUAUUUUCAAUUAAUGUUUCUUAAAAAUAUACAACUUUUCAACAUUAACAACUAAAAGUACCUUAAAAUUUUAAAAAAUCUAUCAUUUUGGAACAAAAAAUAAAUCUAGAAAAUCAUACUUUCAGGAUGCCCCAUUAUGACUAGAGAUGUAGGGUCCAGCGAUCUAUCUUGUCUGGCUCAAACUCUCACACAUGGUGACAGGCAGUGAAGACUUCAGAAAAGAUAAAGUAAAGGUAAUAUAAGAGUAUGUUUAUUGUUGUAUCUUAACAGCAUCUCUUAGAUUAAAUGUAAUUAAAUGAAUUAAACCAAAAGGGAAAAAGAGAAAACUCGUCUCUUAAUUAAGAGCAUUAAGACACGGUCGCUUAGGGGCACGUGUCACGCGUGAAUUGGACAGAGGAGAGGUGGAGCCGUGUUCCGUCUCAUUUCUCGCGUCUGUUUCUCUUUCUCUCCGUUUCGAUUCUCUCCGAAGGCGACAAGGCGAUUUCUCAUCGUCUCGGCGGUCACGUCUCUGUCGGUGGCUCCCAUGGACGAAGGAAGACGGUGGGUCUCGUUCCGGUGCUUUCCUCCACCAAGGAAGCCGGCGACGUCUCUAUCGUGGUGGUUCUCUGAGGCGAAGAAGCGACCAGAGUGUUACCGGAGGGUCUGUAGUGGUGAAUGUGGACGUUGUGGAUGAUGACGUGGCUCACCUGCUGGAUCGUCAGGCACCAGUGGCCGGUGAUCUCGACGCUCGUGCCUCUCCCGUUGAUGGUUUUGUAGCUUCCGACGAUGAGCUCGUGUUUGAGCGUGAUCCCCAUGUCGCCGGAGAAAAUGAUCCAGAGAGGCUCCGGUUGUAUCACAUGUACUAUUUUUUCUCUUUGUCUUGUGAAUUCUUCGGCCUUGAGGACUUGAAGCCAGGCGAAUUCAGGAAGGUGGACGCUUCACAUCGCCUUUGACGCCUCAACCCCUUCACGCCUCAACGCUUUCUGCAUAAUUAAGGUAAGAUUCUUAUUCCAAUAUGUGUUUGGGGACGUGGAUGAGUACGGGGACUGUGAUGAUUUGGACUUUCAGGUUUAAAGUUUGAUUCUGAGUUUAUGAUGAUUUCGUUUGUUUUGAAGUUUUUGUUUCUGAGUUUACGAUGAAGUUGUUUUGAAGUUCAGUUUUUUUCUUUAAAACUUUGAAAUUUAAUUUUGUUUGAAGAUUUUGUUGCUUAAAUCUGGAUUGACGCUAUAGAAAUGGAGUCAAUGCAGUGAGUAUACUAUCUCCUGGGUUCUAUUCUCACCUGUCUUGGUAAAGUGUGUGUUUUCUAAUAUUUUUUUCUCUUGUAAAACAUAGAUGGAACUUAUGUAUGUCUCAAUUGUCAGGUAUGUUUAUAUUUGAUUUCUGUAGCAUUGGUUAUAGGUUUUGGUAACAAGUUAUUUACACAAGUAUAUGGAAUUAUCUUGAUCGUUAAUGCAGACCCAUUAUGGACUUCAUCGAGGUGACCUUUCAUUAUAUAUAGUGUAUACACUUCUAUUCCAAGAACUCUGAAUCACAAGUAAAAAAAUGGUAUAUAGCAAAAGAGUUAACUCUGUUGUUGUUGUAAGUUAUGUCUUCUUUGACAUGUGUGUUUUCUCAGUUGGGACAACAAACUAGUGAAGUUACUCAAUUGCAGAUGGUGAUAUCAUUGAUAUAGCUAAUAACGUCGAGAUAGUGGCUAUCAAUAUGAUGCGUGAUGAAAGAACAGAGGUUAGGAUCUCUAUUUUAAGUCCAUAUUACUUAAAUAUGUAUCUGACUUUGGAUGGCUUUGAGUUCAAAUGAUAGUACCACGUAGCAUCUGGUAUGUGGUGUGUCUGAAUUGGGUUAGCUUAGGCUUAUAAUAAGUUAAGAAGUUUGAUAUCUAUCUAUAUAUAUAAAGAAUUGUUUGCUCUCUCCUCCUUAUGACAUGUCAGAUGCCACCUAGAUAACUCACUCUCUCUCGCGGCGACACGUGGCGCAUUAGGUUUUUGGGUUAUCGUUCUUCGACUCUUCUUCACCCUCGCCGUUCCUCAAAACUCUGCAAACCCAAAGUUUUCUCUUUGCAACUCUUAACCUCCCCUAACAUAGAUUCAACGUAUUCUACUUAAUUCUCCAUUAAUAUGAUUCUUAUUUAACCCAAUAAUAAUGUAAACCUCUCUGUUUCCUUCCUUAGAUCUAUAUAUUGGAGAGGAUUGCGGGUGGGAUGAAUCUUCACAAUCACUUUCGAUUCAUCUUCCAUAUCAAGCAUAUAUACAAAGAUCCUUUGAUAAAGUCUUCCUCCGAUGCUGUGAAGAGACAAUGACUUACUAUAUGCUUCAGGUCGAUUAAAAGCAUCAGAGGUACAAACUUUUUAAAAACAACGAGAUUCGGUUCUUUACUCUUUAAUUUAAUCUCAUAUUCCUUAUUAAUCUUUUGAUGAUUCCAUCUGCAGGGAGCUCGAUUUUUUUUUCUUUUCAUUGGGUUUGUACCUUUUUGUUUUAGUAUCUUUGUGGUUUUUUUUCCUCAGUUAUGUUUGAUAUGUUUACUGAUUCAGAUUUUGGUCUGAUUCUACGGUUCGAUUGAUGAGCAAAUAAAUGAAUCAGAACCAUUGAUUCGAUCGAGUGGAGGCAGAGCGUCUGAAGCUUUGAUGCAUCAUCGAGAAAAUCUUUUGAGUCUUAGAGAGUUUCAAAGUUUCAGGGGAACAGAUUUAAGAUGAUAAAGGCUAGGAUGAUGAUGAACAGUCAAGGCAAGCCAAACCUAGCCAAAUUCUACGCUAGAGAAGCAAUACGAGCUCAUAAGCAACAUACUUUCAGCUAAUAAGCUUGUGGAGACUCGCAAGAGCAAAGUUAAGGUCUUAGUGGGUGCUUAUGAGUCUGUCAUAUCUCUCCAAGAAAGAAAUGGAGCCAACAGCUGCAACGGCUGCCGCAGUCGUGUAUGGAAACCGUUUCCGAGACGCAGCUGCGGUGAAAGGUUACAUCGACGAUUCAGCCGCUGAUCAGACAAACGAUUACCAUAUCAUAGAUCAUGAAGAUAAAGAAAAGCAAAAGCGUUCCAAACGGGGAUGGUGCGGCGUCAAGGAGCUGGAGUUUCAGCGAUCCGGAAUCACGUAGGAAAAGAAGAGUAGCUGGCUAUAAGGUUUACUCAGUUAAAGAUGUAGGGAUCCAUUAGAAAAGGAUUUAAAUGGUUCAAAGACCUUAUAGGUGCUUCUUAAAAUAUUGUGACUUCUCUUUCUCAAUAUUUAUAUAAAUAUGUAAAACGGUGAA